rnacentral:rRNA from 1 species
UAGAGUUUGAUCCUGGCUCAGAACGAACGUUAGCGGCGCGCCUAACACAUGCAAGUCGAGCGCGAAAGGGCUUCGGCCCCGGUACAGCGGCGCACGGGUGAGUAACACGUAGGUAAUCUACCCCCGAAUGGUGGAUAACCCUCCGAAAGGAGGGCUAAUACAGCAUAAGACCACGGCUUCCUCGGAGGCUGAGGCCAAAGCGGGCCACUUUACAAAAGCUCGCGUUUGGGGAUGAGCCUGCGGCCCAUCAGCUAGUUGGCGGUGUAAUAGACCACCAAGGCUAAGACGGGUAGCUGGUCUGAGAGGAUGAACAGCCACACUGGAACUGAGACACGGUCCAGACUCCUACGGGAGGCAGCAGUGGGGAAUCUUGGGCAAUGGGCGAAAGCCUGACCCAGCCACGCCGCGUGAGUGAUGAAGGCCUUCGGGUCGUAAAGCUCUGUGGGGAGGGACGAACAAGUCCGGAUUAAAUAUUUCCGGGCCCUGACGGUACCUCCUUAGCAAGCACCGGCUAACCAUGUGCCAGCAGCCGCGGUA